GGGGAGAGCCUGGGCCCCGUGCAGGAUAUCUGGUGGGGUCCCAGCAUCGGACCCCUUCCAAUCUAAAACAUAUUCCCUUUCCAAAGCAUAGGGGAUACGUUUUUCAGCUUUAAAUAUCUCUUUAACUGUUUUUUGAUAGUAGACUCCAGCCAUCUGCCACAUGACAAACCAGAGGAGCAGCGGACAUGACGUGUAGACACCUACAUGUGACCAGAGGUGAGGAACACUGUGUGAUCUGUACCCUGACCCCGAGGAAUCAAUCAUUCACCAACCACUCUACCAGGGAUGGAACAUCUACAAACACGGCAGCUGGUGAAAGGGUACAGGCAUUACCCUGGGGUGAGGGUGCAGGCGUUACCCUGGGGUGGGGGUGCAGGUGUUACACUGGGUUGAGGGUGCAGGCGUUACACUGUGGUGAGGGUGCUGGUGUUAUACUGGGGUGAGGGUGCUGGUGUUAUACUGGGGUGGAGGUCCUGGUGGUAUCUAGGGGCACAUGCCUCUCAGAGGACUCUCCUCGUCUGUGAUGGUGCUGUCUGCUCCCAGUCCGGUCACUAUACAGGGUGUGCAGUCAGAUAUCUUCCGUACCAUGUGACUAUAUUCAUGUAAUGUAACUAAAUGCAUCCUCCUGCUGGUAAUAAAUUAAUUAUUUUUUUCAGGUGUAGACAAGACGUCAGAUCUGCUCUGUAUGGUCACACGGUGCCCCUGACCUCCAAACAUGGCCGCACAUUCACAGGGUUUAUUUUCACAGGAGUCAGAGGAUGAGGAGAUCUGGGAGAAGCCUGUGAGUGACUGGUCCAUCCAAGAUGUCUGCUCCUGGCUCCAGUACGGGCCCCUACAGAACGCGGCUGGCCUGGUUCAAGCAGCUUAUUCCCAUCACAUCACAGGGCGGGCUCUGCUAAGGUUGACAGACAAUUUGCUGCAGAGGAUGGGAAUCCAACAGGAGAGUUUACGUCAAUCCAUUCUUGUAGAAGUCUUAGAGCUGAAACUACAGCAGGAAAUCCAGCAGCUUCUGCUCAUCACGGAGUGUGCGACUGAGCAGGAGUGUCUGUGAGGAAGACCGGGAUGAAGCUGUGGAUAUGUAAGGAGCUGCAGACAGUGUCAGCCAUGCUGGAUGCUUGAGCUAUGUGCUCCCUGGUGCCAGAGUCAACUUAAUUUUACGUUGUGGUCCUUGUAGGAGCUGGGGCCCCUGACCGAGAGCGCUAUAGAACCAUGCAACAACUGGUACCAGUCUAUUCUACAACCUAGGAAGACCAUGGACUGUUCUUCUGUAACCUAGGAGGACCAUACUGUACCAGGUGCUGGACUGUUCUCCUGUAACCUAGGAGGACCAUGCUGUACCAGGUCCUGGACUGUUCUCCUGUAACCUAGGAGGACCAUACUGUACCAGGUGCUGGACUGUUCUCCUGUAACCUAGGAGGACCAUACUGUACCAGGUCCUGGACUGUUCUCCUGUAACCUAGAAGGACCAUACUGUACCAGGUGCUGGACUGUUCUCCUGUAACCUAGAAGGACCAUGCUGAACCAGGUGCUGGACUGUUCUCCCGUAACCAUGAAGGACCAUGCUGAACCAGGUGCUGGACUGUUCUACUUUAACCUAUAAGGACCAUACUUUACCAGGUGCUGGACGGUUCUCUGUCAUAUAACCUAUAAGGACCAUACUUUACCAGGUGCUGGACUGUUUUCUGUCCUAUAACCUGUAAGGACCAUACUUUACCAGGUGCUGGACUGUUCUCUGUCAUAUAACCUAUAAGGACCAUACUUUACCAGGUAAUGGACUGUUCUCUGUCAUAUAACCUAGGAGGACCAUACUUUACCAGGUGAUGGACUGUUCUCUGUCAUAUAACCUAUAAGGACCAUACAUUACCAGGUGCUGGACUGUUCUCUGUCAUAUAACCUAUAAGGACCAUACUUUACCAAGUGCUGGACUGUUCUGUCAUAUAACCUAGGAGGACCAUACUUUACCUGGUGCUGGACUGUUCUCUGCCAUAUAACCUAGGAGGACCAUACAUUACCUGGUGCUGGACUGUUCUCUGUCAUAUAACCUAUAAGGACCAUACUUUACCUGGUGCUGGACUGUUCUCUGUCAUAUAACCUAUAAGGACCAUACUUUACCAAGUGCUGGACUGUUCUCUGCCAUAUAACCUAUAAGGACCAUACAUUACCAGGUGCUGGACUGUUCUCUGUCAUAUAACCUAGGAGGACCAUACUUUACCUGGUGCUGGACGGUUCUCUGUCAUAUAACCUAUAAGGACCAUACUUUACCUGGUGCUGGACUGUUCUCUGUCAUAUAACCUAGGAGGACCAUACUUUACCUGGUGCUGGACUGUUCUCCAUCAUAUAACCUAUAAGGACCAUACUUUACCAAGUGCUGGACUGUUCUCUGCCAUAUAACCUAGGAGGACCAUACUUUUCCUGGUGCUGGACUGUUCUCCAUCAUAUAACCUAGGAGGACCAUACUUUACCUGGUGCUGGACUGUUCUCUGUCAUAUAACCUAGGAGGACCAUACAUUACCUGGUGCUGGACUGUUCUCUGUCAUAUAACCUAUAAGGACCAUACUUUACCUGGUGCUGGACUGUUCUCCAUCAUAUAACCUAGGAGGACCAUACAUUACCUGGUGCUGGACUGUUCUCUGUCAUAUAACCUAGGAGGACCAUACAUUACCAGGUGCUGGACUGUUCUCUGUCAUAUAACCUAUAAGGACCAUAC